UAUGAUGGCAGCACCCCAUAUGGGAGGCCCUCCCAUGAUGCCAAUGAUGGGCCCUCCUCCUCCUGGAAUGAUGCCAGUGGGACCUGCUCCUGGAAUGAGGCUGCCAUGGGAGGCCACAUGCCCAUGAUGCCUGGGUGCCCAAUGAUGAGACCUCUUGCCCAUCUCAUGAUGGUGCCCAGUUAGCCCAGAAUGACUUGACCAGACA
rnacentral:lncRNA from 1 species